UGUGAGCUCGAUGAGUAGGGCGGGACACGUGGUAUCCUGUCUGAAUAUGGGGGGACCAUCCUCCAAGGCUAAAUACUCCUGACUGACCGAUAGUGAACCAGUACCGUGAGGGAAAGGCGAAAAGAACCCCGGCGAGGGGAGUGAAAAAGAACCUGAAACCGUGUACGUACAAGCAGUGGGAGCCUCUUAAUGGGGUGACUGCGUACCUUUUGUAUAAUGGGUCAGCGACUUAUAUUCUGUAGCAAGGUUAACCGAAUAGGGGAGCCGAAGGGAAACCGAGUCUUAACUGGGCGUUAAGUUGCAGGGUAUAGACCCGAAACCCGGUGAUCUAGCCAUGGGCAGGUUGAAGGUUGGGUAACACUAACUGGAGGACCGAACCGACUAAUGUUGAAAAAUUAGCGGAUGACUUGUGGCUGGGGGUGAAAGGCCAAUCAAACCGGGAGAUAGCUGGUUCUCCCCGAAAGCUAUUUAGGUAGCGCCUCGUGAAUUCAUCUCCGGGGGUAGAGCACUGUUUCGGCAAGGGGGUCAUCCCGACUUACCAACCCGAUGCAAACUGCGAAUACCGGAGAAUGUUAUCACGGGAGACACACGGCGGGUGCUAACGUCCGUCGUGAAGAGGGAAACAACCCAGACCGCCAGCUAAGGUCCCAAAGUCAUGGUUAAGUGGGAAACGAUGUGGGAAGGCCCAGACAGCCAGGAUGUUGGCUUAGAAGCAGCCAUCAUUUAAAGAAAGCGUAAUAGCUCACUGGUCGAGUCGGCCUGCGCGGAAGAUGUAACGGGGCUAAACCAUGCACCGAAGCUGCGGCAGCGACACUAUGUGUUGUUGGGUAGGGGAGCGUUCUGUAAGCCUGCGAAGGUGUGCUGUGAGGCAUGCUGGAGGUAUCAGAAGUGCGAAUGCUGACAUAAGUAACGAUAAAGCGGGUGAAAAGCCCGCUCGCCGGAAGACCAAGGGUUCCUGUCCAACGUUAAUCGGGGCAGGGUGAGUCGACCCCUAAGGCGAGGCCGAAAGGCGUAGUCGAUGGGAAACAGGUUAAUAUUCCUGUACUUGGUGUUACUGCGAAGGGGGGACGGAGAAGGCUAUGUUGGCCGGGCGACGGUUGUCCCGGUUUAAGCGUGUAGGCUGGUUUUCCAGGCAAAUCCGGAAAACCAAGGCUGAGGCGUGAUGACGAGGCACUACGGUGCUGAAGCGACAAAUGCCCUGCUUCCAGGAAAAGCCUCUAAGCAUCAGGUAACAUCAAAUCGUACCCCAAACCGACACAGGUGGUCAGGUAGAGAAUACCAAGGCGCUUGAGAGAACUCGGGUGAAGGAACUAGGCAAAAUGGUGCCGUAACUUCGGGAGAAGGCACGCUGAUAUGUAGGUGAAGCGACUUGCUCGUGGAGCUGAAAUCAGUCGAAGAUACCAGCUGGCUGCAACUGUUUAUUAAAAACACAGCACUGUGCAAACACGAAAGUGGACGUAUACGGUGUGACGCCUGCCCGGUGCCGGAAGGUUAAUUGAUGGGGUUAGCGGUAACGCGAAGCUCUUGAUCGAAGCCCCGGUAAACGGCGGCCGUAACUAUAACGGUCCUAAGGUAGCGAAAUUCCUUGUCGGGUAAGUUCCGACCUGCACGAAUGGCGUAAUGAUGGCCAGGCUGUCUCCACCCGAGACUCAGUGAAAUUGAACUCGCUGUGAAGAUGCAGUGUACCCGCGGCAAGACGGAAAGACCCCGUGAACCUUUACUAUAGCUUGACACUGAACAUUGAGCCUUGAUGUGUAGGAUAGGUGGGAGGCUUUGAAGUGUGGACGCCAGUCUGCAUGGAGCCGACCUUGAAAUACCACCCUUUAAUGUUUGAUGUUCUAACGUUGGCCCGUAAUCCGGGUUGCGGACAGUGUCUGGUGGGUAGUUUGACUGGGGCGGUCUCCUCCUAAAGAGUAACGGAGGAGCACGAAGGUUGGCUAAUCCUGGUCGGACAUCAGGAGGUUAGUGCAAUGGCAUAAGCCAGCUUGACUGCGAGCGUGACGGCGCGAGCAGGUGCGAAAGCAGGUCAUAGUGAUCCGGUGGUUCUGAAUGGAAGGGCCAUCGCUCAACGGAUAAAAGGUACUCCGGGGAUAACAGGCUGAUACCGCCCAAGAGUUCAUAUCGACGGCGGUGUUUGGCACCUCGAUGUCGGCUCAUCACAUCCUGGGGCUGAAGUAGGUCCCAAGGGUAUGGCUGUUCGCCAUUUAAAGUGGUACGCGAGCUGGGUUUAGAACGUCGUGAGACAGUUCGGUCCCUAUCUGCCGUGGGCGCUGGAGAACUGAGGGGGGCUGCUCCUAGUACGAGAGGACCGGAGUGGACGCAUCACUGGUGUUCGGGUUGUCAUGCCAAUGGCACUGCCCGGUAGCUAAAUGCGGAAGAGAUAAGUGCUGAAAGCAUCUAAGCACGAAACUUGCCCCGAGAUGAGUUCU
rnacentral:rRNA from 1 species